GUCACUUUGGCGGAGUGGUUAACGCGCAGCCCUGCUAUAUCCAAUUGAGUAUAAUUAAUUCAAUCGGUCCUAGGAAGGCUGUGACUUCGGUCGCGUAGGUUCGAAUCCUGCAGGUGACG